UACGUAGGAAGCUAGCGUUGUCCGGAAUCAUUGGGCGUAAAGAGCGUGUAGGCGGUCCGGCAAGUCCGCUGUGAAAGUCGGGGGCUCAACCCUCGAAUGCCGGUGGAUACUGUCGGGCUAGAGUGCGGAAGAGGCGAGUGGAAUUCCUGGUGUAGCGGUGAAAUGCGCAGAUAUCAGGAGGAACACCUAUUGCGAAGGCAGCUCGCUGGACCGUAACUGACGCUGAGACGCGAAAGCGUAGGGAGCAAACAGG
rnacentral:rRNA from 1 species